rnacentral:rRNA from 1 species
GAGGAAAAGAAACCAACCGGGAUUGCCUUAGUAACGGCGAGUGAAGCGGCAAAAGCUCAAAUUUGAAAUCUGGUACCUUCGGUGCCCGAGUUGUAAUUUGGAGAGGGCAACUUUGGGGCCGUUCCUUGUCUAUGUUCCUUGGAACAGGACGUCAUAGAGGGUGAGAAUCCCGUGUGGCGAGGAGUGCGGUUCUUUGUAAAGUGCCUUCGAAGAGUCGAGUUGUUUGGGAAUGCAGCUCUAAGUGGGUGGUAAAUUCCAUCUAAAGCUAAAUAUUGGCGAGAGACCGAUAGCGAACAAGUACAGUGAUGGAAAGAUGAAAAGAACUUUGAAAAGAGAGUGAAAAAGUACGUGAAAUUGUUGAAAGGGAAGGGCAUUUGAUCAGACAUGGUGUUUUGUGCCCUCUGCUCCUUGUGGGUAGGGGAAUCUCGCAUUUCACUGGGCCAGCAUCAGUUUUGGUGGCAGGAUAAAUCCAUAGGAAUGUAGCUUGCCUCGGUAAGUAUUAUAGCCUGUGGGAAUACUGCCAGCUGGGACUGAGGACUGCGACGUAAGUCAAGGAUGCUGGCAUAAUGGUUAUAUGCCGCC